AUCUGGCGCCUGCGGUGUCCGAGUUGUAAUUUGGAGAGGCGUCUUCUGGUGGGACCCAGCCUAUCUUCCUUGGAACAGGAGGUCACAGAGGGUGAGAAUCCCGUUCUCGGCUGGAUGCUCCCACCUGUAUGUAGUGCCUUCAACGAGUCGAGUUGUUUGGGAAUGCAGCUCAAAAUGGGUGGUAAAUUUCAUCUAAAGCUAAAUACUGGCGAGAGACCGAUAGCGCACAAGUAGAGUGAUCGAAAGAUGAAAAGCACUUUGAAAAUAGAGUCAAAAAGUACGUGAAAUUGUUGAAAGGGAAGCGCUGGAGACCAGACUCGGCCAAGGACAAACAGCCCUCCUUCUGGUGGGUGCACUUGCCCUCGGCUGGGCCAGCAUCAGUUGGGGUGACGGGACAAAGGCCUGUGGAAUGUGGCUCCCCUCGGGGAGUGUUAUAGCCAUGGGUGCAAUGCCGCCUACCCCGACUGAGGACCGCGCUUCUGCUAGGAUGCUGGCGUAAUGGUCUUCAGCGACCCGUCUUGAAACACGGACCAAGGAGUCUAACAUCUAUGCAAGUGUUUGGGCUUCAGACCCUCACGCGUAAUGAAAGUGAACGGAGGUGGGAACCUCGCGAGGGGUGCACCAUCGACCGAUCCUGAUGUCUUCGGAUGGAUUUGAGUAGGAGCAUAGCUGUUGGGACCCGAAAGAUGGUGAACUAUGCCUGAAUAGGGUGAAGCCAGAGGAAACUCUGGUGGAGGCUCGCAGCGGUUCUGACGUGCAAAUCGAUCGUCAAAUUUGGGUAUAGGGGCGAAAGACUAAUCGAACCAUCUAGUANCUGGUUCCUGCCGAAU
rnacentral:rRNA from 1 species